CUACGGGGUGCUGCAGUGAGGAAUAUUGCACAAUGGGGGGAACCCUGAUGCAGCAACGCCGCGUGGAGGAUGACGCAUUUCGGUGUGUAAACUCCUUUUAUAUGUCAAGAAAAUGACGGUAGCAUAUGAAUAAGCACCGGCGUAACUCCGUGCCAGCAGCCGCGGUAAUACGGAGGGUGCAAGCGUUACUCGGAAUCACUGGGCGUAAAGGACGCGUAGGCGGGUUGGAAAGUCAGGUGUGAAAUCCUACAGCUUAACUGUAGAACUGCACUUGAAACUUCUAAUCUAGAGUAUGGGAGGGGGAGAUGGAAUUAGUGGUGUAGGGGUAAAAUCCGUAGAUAUCACUAGGAAUACCUAAAGCGAAGGCGAUCUCCUGGAACAUUACUGACGUUAAGGCGUGAAAGCGUGGGGAGCAAACAGGAUUAGAUACCCGUGUAGUC
rnacentral:rRNA from 1 species